ACACGACUACAUUAGAUACCCGCGUAGUCCCAGCCCUAAACGAUGCGCGUUAGGUGUAUCGGUGACCACGAGUCACCGAGGUGCCGAAGGGAAACCGUGAAACGUGCCGCCUGGGAAGUACGGUCGCAAGGCUAGAAAACUUAAAGGAAUUGGGCGGGGGAGCACAACAACGGGUGGAGCUUGUCGGUUUAAUUGGAUUCAACGCCGGAAAUCUUACCGGGACCGACAGCAACAUGAAGGCCAAGCUGAAGACUUUGCCGGAUUAGCUG
rnacentral:rRNA from 1 species